rnacentral:rRNA from 1 species
CUUAUAUAUGCAGUCGUACGAUGAACCGCUUUCGGGCGGGGUAUAAGUGGCGAACGGGUGAGUAACACGUGGGCAAUCUGCCCUGCACUCUGGGACAAGCCCUGGAAACGGGGUCUAAUACCGGAUAUGACUGUCCGCCGCAUGGUGGAUGGUGUAAAGCUCCGGCGGUGCAGGAUGAGCCCGCGGCCUAUCAGCUUGUUGGUGAGGUAGUGGCUCACCAAGGCGACGACGGGUAGCCGGCCUGAGAGGGCGACCGGCCACACUGGGACUGAGACACGGCCCAGACUCCUACGGGAGGCAGCAGUGGGGAAUAUUGCACAAUGGGCGAAAGCCUGAUGCAGCGACGCCGCGUGAGGGAUGACGGCCUUCGGGUUGUAAACCUCUUUCAGCAGGGAAGAAGCGAGAGUGACGGUACCUGCAGAAGAAGCGCCGGCUAACUACGUGCCAGCAGCCGCGGUAAUACGUAGGGCGCAAGCGUUGUCCGGAAUUAUUGGGCGUAAAGAGCUCGUAGGCGGCUUGUCACGUCGGUUGUGAAAGCCCGGGGCUUAACCCCGGGUCUGCAGUCGAUACGGGCAGGCUAGAGUUCGGUAGGGGAGAUCGGAAUUCCUGGUGUAGCGGUGAAAUGCGCAGAUAUCAGGAGGAACACCGGUGGCGAAGGCGGAUCUCUGGGCCGAUACUGACGCUGAGGAGCGAAAGCGUGGGGAGCGAACAGGAUUAGAUACCCUGGUAGUCCACGCCGUAAACGGUGGGCACUAGGUGUGGGCAACAUUCCACGUUGUCCGUGCCGCAGCUAACGCAUUAAGU